rnacentral:rRNA from 1 species
GGGGGGGGGGGGGGGGGGGCGUGGGGCGGGGGGGGCGGGGGGGAGGGGGCCGGCGGUGGGGGGCGCGGGGCGGGCGGGGGGGUGGUGCAUCGGAGCGUACCCGGAGGUUGGGGCUAGCGCAGCGUCAGCUGGUCGAAGUCCGCAUGGGAUCUGAGGGUGAACGCCGUGGGCCGGGGAGCACUGUUUGGGCGCGCGCCUUUGGACCUGCCGAUGUCGUAGUAGCUAGUUGGGUGGGUAACGGCCUACCACGGCGACGAUCCGUAGCUGGUCUGAGAGGACGAUCAGCCACACUGGGACUGAGACACGGACCAGACUCCUACGGGAGGCAGCAGUGGGGAAUUUUGGACAAUGGGCGCAAGCCUGAUCCAGCAAUGCCGCGUGCGGGAAGAAGGCCUUCGGGUUGUAAACCGCUUUUGGUAGGAACGAAACGGUGUCCGCUAAUACCGGGCGCUAAUGACGGUACCUGCAGAAUAAGCACCGGCUAACUACGUG